CGCCGCGGCCCAGCACCUGACACCUGGUGCGGACGGGGGGACCAUCCUUGAGCAGUUCAUUGCGCUUCGGCGUGACUGUCGGAGAAAAAAAAUUAAACAUCGAACUUUCGCGAUAUACAUCGCGCAUAUUGGCGCCAUAAAAUAAAUGUAUUUUUUUGUAAAUUUUGAUAAAUUAAUUUUAAACUAUUUA